rnacentral:lncRNA from 1 species
AUGGAAAGCAAAAUGUGGCUCUGGAUCACCUUGACGGGCCGCCUCGAACCUGGUUUCGGGCACGGAUUUCGUGUCCGCCAUCUCCAGCUGCCAGCGCCGGCCGCGCUCCCAAGAUCGGUCCCUGGGGAUCAGGCGGCAACAGUAGAAACAGCAGCAGCAGCAGCAGCAGCAGCAGCACCAACACCACCACCACCAGGUUUGCCAGGAGCCUGCGUGAAAUUGGAACAAGAAGCGCAGCGUGGAAUCAGCAUGGGGGGAGGGAGGGGGUGCCCCGGGGCGGCCGGCCAGGUCACCGGAGCACUGCGGUACCCAGGCCCCAGGAAGGGCUGGCCGAGGCGGCCGGGCUCCCCCUCGCCCCCGUCCUUGCUUUUCAACUUUAUAAGCUACAAGAAAAAAGACAGAAUAAGUAAUAAUCAUUAAAAGUAAAUAAUAUUAAUAGGAAU